CAUAAAGAAAUAUUAUUCAACGAAUAGAAAACAGAAAUAGAAACUGCCUCAGUUUCUGCCUUGUGGGAACCAUAACUGACUGUGUUCUGUGUGCAUUCCUGUGAGAAUAUUCAAUAAUAAACAGUUGUAAUUUGUUUAUUUAUCCUAUUGGCACAAGUUUCUAUCAGAAAAAUAGAAAUCAAACGUUAAAUGAUUGUUCUGAACACGGUACAUGAUAACGCUGCAGCAACCGUCAGCCCAAUUGUCUAGAUCAUCAAAAUCCUUUAAGUAGAAGAAGCAACCUCUCCAACUCUCCACUUUUAUGACUCAAUGCAUCCUAAUUAAGGAAUUCAGGUGACAAUGGAAACAGGGUCGAACUCAGAAUCAUUGAACAAAAAGGUUUUUGUUUCAAAAAGUGAUCACAAUCCAAGAAACUUGGGUUCAUGGGCGGAGAAAACCGGUUUUGUUUGUGAUUACUCGGGAGAAGCAGGGUCAAGUGGAAGUGAAAAGUUUGAACUUUUUCAAGAGAGAGGAAGAGGGUCUUCAUCUUCUCCAGAGAUAGAGAUAGAUCAUGUUUCGGGGCGAAGGAUGAGACGGAACAGGGAUGCAUGGUGUUGUUGUUGGUUUAAGUGUUUGGGAAAUAGAAAUGUCAAGCCUGUGUAUCUGAUAAAUGAGAAAUCAUAAGAUAUGAGGUAAAUCAUCGUAGCAUGAGAUUGUUUGUUUUGAUUUUUUGUUUUAAUGCAGUGUCCAUUUGAUUCAGACAAGACUUCGUCACGUUAUAGACCCAGAGGCAUUAGUAUUAUGGUCACUUGAAUAAUAAUUAUAUGUGUAGGUUUAUGUAUACUUUAAAUUUGUAUUGUAUCGAUAUAUUGUAUAAUUUGUAUCAAUUCAAAUGAAUAUUUAAUUAUUUAAGUUAAAAAUAAAAAAAUUGUAUUGUGCAAA